AACGAACGCUGGCGGCAGGCUUAACACAUGCAAGUCGAGCGCCCCGCCAGGGGAGCGGCCGACGGGUGAGUAACGCGUGGGAACGUACCUUUUGGUUCGGAACAACUCCGGGAAACUGGAGCUAAUACCGGAUAAGCCCUAACGGGGAAAGAUUUAUCGCCGAAAGAUCGGCCCGCGUCUGAUUAGCUAGUUGGUGAGGUAACGGCUCACCAAGGCGACGAUCAGUAGCUGGUCUGAGAGGAUGAUCAGCCACACUGGGACUGAGACACGGCCCAGACUCCUACGGGAGGCAGCAGUGGGGAAUAUCGGACAAUGGGCGCAAGCCUGAUCCAGCCAUGCCGCGUGAGUGAUGAAGGCCUUAGGGUUGUAAAGCUCUUUUGUCCGGGAAGAUAAUGACUGUACCGGAAGAAUAAGCCCCGGCUAACUUCGUG
rnacentral:rRNA from 1 species